UGGGGAAUAUUGGACAAUGGGCGCAAGCCUGAUCCAGCCAUGCCGCGUGUGUGAAGAAGGCCUUCGGGUUGUAAAGCACUUUCGGACGGAACGAAAUCGCGUGGGCGAAUAUCCCGCGUGGAUGACGGUACCGUAAGAAGAAGCACCGGCUAACUACGUGCCAGCAGCCGCGGUAAUACGUAGGGUGCAAGCGUUAAUCGGAAUUACUGGGCGUAAAGGGUGCGCAGGCGGCCACGCAAGUCGAGUGUGAAAGCCCCGGGCUUAACUUGGGAAUUGCGUUCGAAACUACGUGGCUGGAGUGUGGCAGAGGGAGGUGGAAUUCCACGUGUAGCGGUGAAAUGCGUAGAGAUGUGGAGGAACACCAAUGGCGAAGGCAGCCUCCUGGGCUAACACUGACGCUCAUGCACGAAAGCGUGGGGAGCAAACAGGAUUAGAUACCCUUGUAGUCCCUGAGCGGGCUGGCAAGGCGCAU
rnacentral:rRNA from 1 species